GAUGAGAUCUAUCGAACUACUUCACCCACCAUUAACAUCCCCAACCAUCGUGCGGAUCGUCCUGGGCCUGGCUGGCUGAACAUGUGCGGCGCCGGCCACUGGUUCCCGAAUUCGGCAAUCCCUGGGCAAUCCCACCGGCAAGGCCCCCAAGGAUCGACCAACAGACCUAGUGACACAACGUCUGCGAAAUUCCCUCCUGUGAUCGCCUCCUGCCCCACCGGGCGCCAUCAAGGCCGGACAUGAGCAACAAGAGCGUCACGGUCCAACGACGAAAAAUGCAUGUACUGUGGUAACUGCUACACAAUACGA
rnacentral:rRNA from 1 species